rnacentral:rRNA from 1 species
UACAGGGGGGGCAAGCGUUGUUCGGAAUUACUGGGCGUAAAGGGUUCGUAGGUGGCCACUUAAGUCAUACGUGAAAUCCCUCAGCUUAACUGGGGAACUGCGUGUGAUACUGGAUGGCUUGGAUUUGGGAGAGGGAUGCGGAAUUCCAGGUGUAGCGGUGAAAUGCGUAGAUAUCUGGAGGAACACCGGUGGCAAAGGCGGCAUCCUGGACCAAUAUUGACGCUGAGGAGCGAAAGCUAGGGGAGCAAACGGG